AUGCUGAGUGUCUGGGAAAGGAAACUUCAGCUGCCAGGAAGCUCAGAACUAAAUCCGAUGCAAGCCUGUGGGUCAUUCAAGUGGUUGGCGAAGAAACUCACCCUCUCUGAGUCUGCCCUGUGGGGCUGGAAGAGUCUGUCUGCUGUCCACUCACCGUUCAUCGCUCCCACCCAGGGUCUGUGGGGUCGUCACCACCUGUUGUCUGGACACUUGUUCUCCCUGGACCUUCCUCCUUUAUCGAUCUGUAUCAUCUCCAGCCUCCCUCUUGGAAGGAAUUAAGCUUGAUGGUGUCUGAGGCCUCUUUCCACGACAGCAAAGCAGCAGCAGCAGAUGGUAUGAAGCUCAGAAUCUCCAAUGAAGCCAUUUGCUGAGCCCAGGUGCCCAUCUGGUGCCAGCAUCAUCCAGCCAACCCUCAUCGUGGCAGGCCCAUGAGUGCUGGUCUCGGGCCCAAAGUUCUCAGAAGAGGGAGCUGAAUGGGAAAGAGGGGGACUGAUAUCCUGAGGCCACGGAGUUACCAGUGCUGAGAUUCACCUGGGUGCUGGCGCAGGACACACUCAUAAACACUAGUGUCCUGCUGAGUGGAACGUCUGUGGAGUGGACCCCUGGCCUCCUGGACCUAGUGUGGCUCUCACCCUACUGAGCUGUCUGCAUGUCAGUGACUGUCUCCUUCUGUCUGGACCUUGGUGGGCCUGCAAAGCUGAAUGCUGAUUCGUGAUCCUGUCCAAGGGUGAGGACGGCACCAGCCCCAAGCCUUCCUGUGACUGGUCCUCACACACCUUGGGAGUCCUCUUCAUUCGGCAUCAAUCUCCUGGCCCCAGUCAGGCCCCCCCAGCUUCUUAAAUCCCUGAGAGGGGGAGGGGGAAAGUGGGAACCCAGGUUUCAAAGAACACAGGUUUUCUGAAAUGAGGAAGAGGUCCCAAAUAAAGCAACAAUGGAAAGCUACUCACUGUGGUCUGUGGGCUGAGCUUCCUGAUCCUGCUGGGUGCUGAGGAGUCCUGGUAGUUGUGCGUUAAGGAGCUGGCCCUGGGUCCCAGUCAGAGCUACUGUUCAACAGCCACCCAAGUCAGCUUUCUCUUGCUUUUACUCUUUUUCACAGAUGAGUGAGCAUGAGGAGGUCUGGCCUUCCGUCCCUCUCACCACUUCCCCUCUGGGUCCCCAGUACCACAGCAUUCUGUCCCUGUAAUUGUGUUAUUUCUCACAAGGAACUCUGACCAGGGAGGGGAGGGGCAUCUGUAUAGCCCCUGGAGUCAAGGGACUUGAGUUCUAAUCCCAUGUAGCUCUUAUGACCUUGAGCAAUUCACUUAAUCUUCUUAAACC
rnacentral:lncRNA from 1 species